GCUCAUGGCUCAGAUUGAACGCUGGCGGCAUGCCUUACACAUGCAAGUCUAACGGUAACAGGUCUUCGGAUGCUGACGAGUGGCGAACGGGUGAGUAAUACAUCGGAACGUGCCCGAUCGUGGGGGAUAACGAAGCGAAAGCUUUGCUAAUACCGCAUACGAUCUACGGAUGAAAGCAGGGGACCGCAAGGCCUUGCGCGAACGGAGCGGCCGAUGGCAGAUUAGGUAGUUGGUGGGAA
rnacentral:rRNA from 1 species